GCAUCAGUAAUUCAAUGGUAGAAUGGCAGCUUCCCAAGCUGCUCACACGGGUUCGAUUCCCGCCUGGUGCUCCA
rnacentral:tRNA from 1 species